GCUGAAGGGUAACACCCCGUCGACAGACAGAAAAGCCCUUCAUGGCCCCUCCGCUGAUGACUGACAUUAGUGACCCUACCGUCUGGCUCAGCAGUCUUCCUCAAGAAAUGCUACAGGAAUCCUUCUCGAUCAUCUUGUUUUCGUCACUAAUUUCGCCCUUCAUUGCCUCCCAAGGAAGGAAGGACGGACGGAAAAGCCCUUCAUCGCCUCCCAAGGAAGGAAGGAUGGACGGAAAAGGCCUUCAUCGCCUCCCGAGGACGGACAGACGGAAAAGCCCUUCAUCGCCUCCCGAGGAAUGACGGACGGACGGACGGAAAAGGCCUUCAUCGCCUCCCAAGGAAGGACGGACUGACGGACGGAAAAGCCCUUCAUCGCCUCUCGAGAACGGACGGACGGAAAAGCCCUUCAUCGCCUCCCGAGGACGGACAGACGGACGGACGGAAAAGCCCUUCAUCGCCUCCCGAGGACGGACAGACGGACGGACGGAAAAGCCCUUCAUCGCCUCCCGUUGAUGGGUGACCUCAGUGACCCAUCACCAGGCUCGGCAGGUUUUCUGGAAGAAACCCAACAACUGUUCCCAGAUGAGCAGGAAUUCUCCUGGAUCAUCGGAUUUCGCCCUUCAUCGCUUCCCAACGACAGAUAACGGAUGAAAAUGACUGAACUUGAAAAGACUGGGUUUCUUUUUUUUUUCUCUUUCGGAUAAUUUUGUUUAGAGACUUCAUAAUUAAUUUUAUUUUUGUUUUAUUUUUGGAUAUUUAAAAUGCCUUUCAAUGUUAAAUGUUAGUUAGAAUUUAAUGUCUGGUUUAGGUUAUCCUGAUCUCUCGCUCUAGUUUUGCUGCUGUCUGUUUAGGUUACUGGAGGAUAAAUCAAUAAUUUUUCAAAUGUUCACUUUUUGUUGUCUCGGUAAUUUUUCUCCACAGAAACUACACUGGGUCUUGCAUUCUGAUGGGCUGUGGUUCCUUCCUGGAGGAGGACAUUGGCUGACAUGAUGCUGCCAUCACCUGACCCUUCUU